rnacentral:miRNA from 1 species
UGGACAACAAGAUAAUGGUGU